rnacentral:lncRNA from 1 species
UGCGCGACACGGUGACGAAGGCGGUGUACGAUAACAGCCACUUCUUCACGUCGCAAGUGAAGUAAGUGGAGGUCCAUUGACCGUGUUGCACACGAUGCCCCUUGACUUUGCCGUGAGGAGGCACCGAGUUUUUGUCCAGCCAAGGUUCUUCCUGGAACGACCGAUUGUGAGACUGCGAAAACACCACUUUACGGUGACCGUCGCCGGUGGCUCGGUGGGCCGACACGUAGUAAUAGGGUUUCCACAGACUGCCGUUUCCGACCCAGACGAUCCUGGCCGCGUACAGGAACUUGUCCGAUAAGACCGUCUCUUGGGCGAAAGCCUUCAACAUAUCUGUAGCCAGAAAAGAAAGAUGAAUUCCGCCGGCCACACGCCUUCUACACUGAAAAAAAAUCGGCUUACCUGCGUCUGUUCUAGGAUAAUAAUCGGCUAAUAAUCGAGUGAUUAACUCGGUUUUUUGACGGACGGUUUCGAACAUUUUG